rnacentral:lncRNA from 1 species
GGAGACAGCUCUGGCGACAGCCCGGCUGCCUGGAAGUCUAGGGUAGGUCUUUUUCACCCUAAGGGAGUUAGAGGUGAGCGUGCAUACUCUCAGGAAGGCUUCUUGGAGGUCAUGAUUGUUGAGCCAUACCGUGAAGAUCUAGCAGGAGUUAGCAAGAGGUGGCAGGGGCGGGGGUAAGGAUACCCCACCCUUCGAACAAAGAAAGCAUGACGGGGCAUACUGUGAACGAGGAAGAGCUGUGGAGAGGUCUGCAGAGGCGAAACACGCAGGGGCUUCGGGACGUGCUUUAUUCUAAGAGCAGUGGGGAGGGGCUUGCUGGGUUUAAAGGAGUGUAAUCAAGAGUGUUAGAAAGACUCUAGUCGCUUGGAAAGAAUUGUCGGAGGGACCAGGAAGCUGUCGCAGCAAGCAGUCCAGCUGGAAUAUGACCAAAGACUGGGGAAAGAGGGGUUCGGGCAUCUGAAGCUUUCCCAGUCCCGGCGACACUGUGCGCUGUCCCUCAGCUUUCUUUGCUUAUGUGUAAUGUCUCCAUAAAGGGCUGGGUACCGACCAGAUGCUGAUUAAACGACACAGAGCAGAGCCCCCUCUUCUUUCGGGGACUCUCUAGACCAGAUGCCUUAGAAUUGGUAGUAUUAGGCAGGAAGACUUCCCACUGCUGAAGAUGGAGAACCGUUACCCCUCAAAAAACACAAAAACCUCGGCUGCUUUUGGCCUCAGCCUCCUCCGCCCAUGACCUCAUGCUUUAAGCUCCCAUAUAGCCUUCCCCCGCCCUGUCCACACCCAGAGCCCGAGUGGGGGUGGGGCGGGGGGGGACACAGUGUCGAAGGCAUGGAGAGCGGGAGAAGCUGACUUAUCCUGAGCGAGAUUUGGGGGAAGGGCGCAACGAUUCCCCCACACUGAAAAAAGAAUGGUGUAACUUUCCCUCGUGCAAAAAUACUCGCUGUCUUGAGGACCCUAGGCGAGAUCGAUACCUCGAACCCGGCGCGAGGUACUCUGUUUGGCUGAACUAUCUUUGGCUUAUGUUUCCUAGGACCAGAAAAGAAAUGCUGGGUCACCGUCUAGGAUCCCGGCACCUGGACUUAACCGCUGCAGUCCUUCGCGGGACCCGGUCUCGCUCUCGCCCCCUGCCCUGGGCCGACGAGGUUUGAACCCUUGGCUCGCCUUUCAGCUCGCGCCCUGCCCCCUGCUCGCAGCUGCUCUCGGUUUGGGUGCAGCGGUUUCCCCCGCAGAGGAGGAGGAGGAGACAGCGCGAGGGAGCGACUCGGGGCUCGGGUUUCCGCACCAAUGCCGAGCAGCCCCGGGCGGCCCCCGGCGGCCGUCCCUCCUCCCCGGCACCACGUUCCACAGUCAUGGCGCGCGAGGAGGGGCGAGCGCCGCGGCCGCACCCGCGCCCCCUCCCCUGCGAUCCCUCCCCUCCGCUGCCGGCCCCGGCCCCUCUCCUAGGCAACCUCCCCCCCAGCCUGCUGCGCCGCGGAGUGGAGCCCCCUCCCCAGAGAGCUGCAUUUCCAGCGCCGUCUGCAGCACCCCUCCCCGCCCCCAUCGGGGCGGAGGGAUGGAGCCGCGCGCCUCGAGAACCUCCAGCCCCCUUCCCCGGAGCCCCAGGCCCUCUCCCGGCCCCACCGAGGCCCGGGUGAGGUGGGGGAAGGCGCAGACCGUCAACACCCAGCCCGCCCAGACCUUGGCAUCUAUGCAAACCCUCACAAAAAAUAAACAAAACCCCCUA